rnacentral:rRNA from 1 species
UACGUAGGUGGCAAGCGUUGUCCGGAAUUAUUGGGCGUAAAGCGCGCGCAGGUGGUUCCUUAAGUCUGAUGUGAAAAGCCCACGGCUCAACCGUGGAGGGUCAUUGGAAACUGGGGGAACUUGAGUGCAGAAGAGGAAAGUGGAAUUCCACCGUGUAGCGGUGAAAUGCGUAGAGAUGUGGAGGAACACCAGUGGCGAAGGCGACUUUCUGGUCUGCAACUGACACUGAGGCGCGAAAGCGUGGGGAGCGAACAGG